CAGAAAGCACAACCCUCAAUUUGCACUUUUUCUUCCCCUAACUUCCCUUCUGCCUCACUCACCAAUACUUCAAUGCAUUUUUUUAAAAUGAAUCUUCUUUACAAAUAUUUCAUCUUUGAUUAAUUGACUUCCUAUUAAUUAAAUUUCACUAAUCGUUUAAUUUCUCCUAACUUAUAUGCUACAUGUAGAUCAUCCAAAGGCAAUGUUAUUUUCUUAAAGGUAUAGUUGACCCAAAAAUGAAAAUUUGCUGAAAAUGUACUCUCCUUCUGUACUCUUGUAAUCACCCAUCCUGUAAAUCAUUAAUAUGCUCUUGUAAUCUCCAAAAUAGAUUUGGAGAAAUUUAGCAUUACUUCACUUGCUCACUGAUCCUCUGCAGUGAAUGGGUGCCGUCAGAAAGAGAUGUUCUGUUAUUAAGAUGUGAUUAAGAUGCUUUAACUUUAAACCAUCACUGCAGGCCAAAAUGCAAGCCCAAAAUUAAUACUAAUGCUGUAAAUAAGUCCCCUGUUGUCCUCUCACAACAAAAUCCAGUGAUAUAUUUGUUUAGAACUGUUUUUGCUUGUAAGUGGUGCUUGAUCUGUGCACAUUUCUCUGUGCACGUUUUCAUUAGAGAAAACAAUAUUAUGAUAUAGAGGACUCAUAUUCUUGCCGGAAGCAAUGAAUUGAAGCUUGUGUAUUACUUACUUUUGGAUUACUGUGAUGUUUUUAUCAGCUGUUUGGACUCUCAUUCUGACGGCACCCAUUCACUGCAGAGGAUCCAUUGAUGAGCAAGUGAUGUAAUGCUAAAUUUCUCCAAAUGUGUUCAAACUCAUUUGCUUCUUGGAUAGCCUGAGGAGUUCAAAUAACUGGAAUAACUGGAAUGACAUCUUCAAUCUUCGUUCACUCAUUACAACACUAGAUAGAUUGGAUAAAUGUCAGAUUCAAAGGCCAACAUGUCCAGAUCUCCUGGAACGUAAAUGUCACCACCCCGCAGCUACUGCAAAUGACGGAGUUUGUGGCGUAGCGAGUGCUUUCAUUUAUAUAUAGGGUUUCUAGCAUGCUCUGCAACAGUUCAGCUCUUCAUUGGUUUGUGUGGUCAAAGAUAUUUAAAACAUAGUAAAAGUCUUUCAUAGUCAAAUAUGACCAUCAACAUAAAAAAAAAAAAAAAAUUAUAUUGGAUUAAACGUGCUUCAGAAAUAUGACAAAAUGAGACCACUCUUAAAUACUAAAAGAGUCCUUCAAGUAUGUGUUAUCAAAAGCAUGUACAUCAAGU
rnacentral:lncRNA from 12 species